UUUUUACUUCAUAGAAUUUUGAAGAUGCUAAGAAAAGAGAAAUCAAGAAAAUCGAGAAGAAAUUGAAGCAGAUAGAACUUCUUGAGGAAAAGCAUGAGGAAGAAUUUUCAUACAAUAAGGAUGAAGUAAUCAUACAUGUUGUUAGAGCAAGGGGCCUCGGUGGCCAAGUGGUUUAAGUAGUUCUACUACUGUAAUCACUAGCCAGUCAACACUGAGGUUUUGAGUUUGAACCCCUCUCUUGCAGAUGCACUCAACUCCAAUCUUAAUUGACUAGGAUUGUCAGUUUGCCUAUCAAAGGUCAGUGUUUUUUUCUAGUACUCGAGCUUCCUCCACCAAUUAAAACUGACAGCCACUAAAAAGCCAAAAUGUGGCGCUUAAAAGUGGUGUUAAAUACCAAAAAUGAAUCUUAUUGUUACGGUUGAUGCUAUUGGGGGUUAGUAUUUUCACAAUUACACUGUAGUAUGAAGCUUUACUGUUAGGGUUAAAGUCACUCAUUCAUAAAAUUUGUAUAUAAAUAUUUACUCAUUUGAAAAAAUAUUCCGCUUGAAAUGUUUUAACAUUUUAUACCAGAUUUUGAAGUAAGAAAAAAUUUCCUUUUUACGAUAUGCAAAACAAAAUAAAUGCUCAAUGUCACAUGCAACAGAAGAAACAAGUUAGAAUAUGGGCCAAAGAAACGUAGCAUUUAAAAAAGUUAUAAAUAAAAUGUCUAUUGAAAGGUUGUUCAAACCUCUGAAACCUUUUUUGCUUAAAUAUCAACAUUAAGAUUUUCCUAAUCCAAAUGUGUUAAAGGAUUUAUUUACAACGAAAAAAACAAAAGACAUAGAGUUAUAAUCUUAAAGAGUAAUCGUAGUAAUCCAAACCAGUUCCAUGUCAAGUUACAACUAGUAAAUAAAUCAUGUUUCCCUAGACUUAAAUUUCAAUCAAGGUACAUUCAAUGUGUUCAACAGAUUUAGGUCAAACAUGUCAUAAAUAGUCUUGGGGAAAAAUGAGCUUGUACAAUGCUUAGAUAUCAAUUUAAUUCUCAAUCGGGUUUAAGAUAUUGAAAAAGGGGUCAUAAAAACUCCUGCUAUUUUAACAGGUGAUAGCUAAAGAAUAUUGUUUUAAUCUAAAUGUGUUAAAUAAACUUAUGUUUGUUGUAUUGUAGGAGCUUAAAGUCAGAGCCAAGGACAAGUUGUUAAAGGCAUUAGAGGAAUUAACGUAUGUUAUGUAUUGCAUACAUUUAAGGAUGUACUUCGGUGAAAUUAAAAAAUCUGGAAUUUGAAAUUGAUACUAUAAGUCAUUAUAAACUGAUUAGGAACAAAAUAAUCUAAAAAUAUUGAUAGGGGAUUGAGCUCCUUUCGAGAUAUUCAAUUAGAAAAGAAUUGUAGGAAAUGGCUGACUCAGACUUUUACCAUAUAUUUCAAUUGGCAUUUUUGGGGUCUUAAAUUGAAAGAAAGAAAUCUAGAACCUGCUUAAAUUUUGGUAGCUGAUCUUCAAUGUAAUAUUGAAGUCUUAUAUGAAUAGAAAAAUUGGGUGUUAUGGGAGUCUGAACAUCUGACAAAAAUUUCUUAAACCUCACCAAAGUACAUCCUUUAUGUUUAGUUCUAAUAUGAAGCACAGGUUUAGAACUGCUUUUUGUGUUAUUUUUCUGGUUAAUAAUGACCAAAAUACAAAGUUUGUAUGAAAAAUAAAAAAUCUGAACUUUGAAAUACUGAUAUCAAAUGUCAUGAAUGUUAUUUAUAAUAGCCUUGGUAGUCUCAUGGUAGUGUUCCUGUCGCCUGUGUGAAAGGCUGAUUGCUCAAUCAUUCUCAGAGUCAAACCACUGAAUUGGAAAGUAAUUUUUGCAUGCCUGCUAAACACACUAGGUUGAAAUACAUAAAAAUCUGCCGGAAAAUGUUUUUCUUUAGCAUUUACAGUCAAAGAAAGAAAUAAGAUUAGUCCAGAAUUUUAUGUUAGUUGCUGCUUCUUAUAUGUAUGAUCACAAUAAUUAUGAGAGCAAAACUUUGUCAUGUCAAUAUUAUAGAAUGUAUGCCUUCUGGACAUGCAGUAAGCAGAAACAUACAUGUAUGUUGUGACCUCUGCUUUCAGUUAGUUUUAAAGGAGAAUGAAAUAAAUCUGUUGAAAUUGUAUUGUGAAACUUAUCAGUAAUUAGCUCACAUUCAUUAUGAAAUCAUUAGUGGCUUUUGAGUUGAGAGAUGCAAAACAAACAAGGGACCAUAAACACAUUACUUUUAUUCUGAAAUAAUGCAUGUCUAUGGUUGGCUAAAAUGAAACCUUUUCUAGUUUUUUGUAAUAAUCUUAUCUUUUUUUUGUAGAUUGUAAUGGGAGAUGAAAAGGACAGAUUACAAUUUGAUGGACAAUGUUGAACCACUAAAAAGUCAAGUUGAUAUUAGGACACCAUAUUAUAUUUUUUUAAUUUAUUUGUAGUUCCCAUAAAUAAUGGG
rnacentral:lncRNA from 1 species